UACAGAGGGUGCGAGCGUUAAUCGGAAUUACUGGGCGUAAAGCGUGCGUAGACGGUUAUGUAAGUCAGAUGUGAAAGCCCCCGGGCUCAACCUGGGAAUUGCAUUUGAGACUGCAUAGCUAGGGUGCGGAAGAGGGAAGCGGAAUUUCCGGUGUAGCGGUGAAAUGCGUAGAUAUCGGAAGGAACACCAGUGGCGAAAGCGGCUUCCUGGUCCAGCACCGACGUUCAGGCACGAAAGCGUGGGGAGCAAACAGG
rnacentral:rRNA from 1 species